rnacentral:telomerase_RNA from 1 species
GGUCGAUGCGAAUGGUGGUCUGAUAUCCUUACUGAUUGUAUAUCUCCACAGUUUCCCAAACAGUGAGCGUCGAGCACGGGCGGGUAGCUAUCCCAAUUCUAGACAUGGAAAAAGAGUAUGGCUACUUGGCAUUCCCGAACUCACCUCAACCCUCCUUGCUUCUGCUUCUUGCUCUCACAGGUGAUGCUCCACAGGAUCGGGCGGUAAAGAAGAAGACUAAGUCUGCCUCAUAGGGAUGACGAUCACCGCCUUUCGAACGGGCUUCUCGCCGGCCACAUUCUUGCUGUCGGCUCACGUCGACCAGAUCCGGCGUUCGGCAAUCAAACGAGAUAGAGAUCAGCCAGGAGCCGUUACGAGGAAUCCUUGCAUUGCCUUUGUCAUUUACACCUUUUUCGAUCUUUUGCCCGCCAGUCUCUAGACAGUCGGGUGGAGUCGCGCGUCCUCAUCCACAACUGCUUAGAGCGGUGGUGGUAGAGAGUCCCUUCUCCUAAAGCUGCGAGGAUUCUGGUAGCCGACCCAAGUUUUAAAGCGGUAAAAGGCGAUCCUAACCCUAAGUUCAUCAAAUCGGUCAAGCCGCGCGCGGCAAAGGAGUCACCUUGGAGGCAAGAGUCGCUCGGUCAUUGACCAGGAAACUUUGUGCUCGAGGCUUGGUUCUGGGACAGAGGUUCCCCUUGUUCGCGACGGCCGGCGCGCUAGCUCGCAGAGGGGUGUAGGGUUCCAGCCCUCCAGACGAAUCUCCUUGGAGACGAGACGACCUCUUUCCAUUCCGACGGCACCGAAAAGAAGAUCACGUCCUUGACAAGGGCGAUGCCACACUCAGGCUGAUCCGGUUCGCCAAUACUUUUGACAAACGUGGGAACAUAGAGUCGUCUCUAUUGAUACCCCACUUGGGCGCUGAAAGGUUUCUCUUGUCCUUCUCUUUUUCUGCAAGAUACUAGGUCGUAUCUGCGCCUCGAAGCCUCUGCUUCGGAAGGAUCAAGUCUUUUUCGAAAAAGACUUGGAUCCAGCUAAAUAAGAGAAGACGAAUGCGGGCAAUUCAGGAUCCUAAGCUUUCGGCCUGGCUAUUCAUCUCUGAGUAGGCUUUAUCUCGAGCUGAGCGCUGAUUAUUCUUGCGACGGAGGAGGCGAGGGCGGUCAUCUGACCUAGAAGACAGGAGUUGGCCUAUCGAGGGCAUCUACUUGAGCAAUGCAGUCUCUUCGGAGCAAGCUCUCUCUCUGCGAGGGGAGGGACACUGCAUUAGAGCUAUGCGCUCGAUCUUGGCUCGUAGUGCCAAAGUCUCGUAAGAGCAUAAUUUUUCGACCAGAGUCCUGC